rnacentral:misc_RNA from 1 species
CGCAGCCGCGGUAAUUCCAGCUCCAAUAGCGUAUAUUAAAGUUGUUGCAGUUAAAAGCUCGUAGUUGAAUUUCGAGACCGGUUUAUUGGUCGUGCUUUUGUACGUACUGGUAUUAUUGGUUUCUCCUUUCUGACGAAUCUUAAUGCCAUUAAUUUGGUGCUUUGGGGAAUCAGGACUGUUACUUUGAAAAAUUAGAGUGUUUAAAGCAGGCUCACGCUUGAAUACAUUAGCAUGGAAUAACGGAAUAGGACGUUUGAUUCUAUUUUGUUGGUUUCUAGGAUCGACGUAAUGAUUAAUAGGGAUAGUUGGGGGCAUUAGUAUUCAAUUGUCAGAGGUGAAAUUCUUGGAUUUAUUGAAGACUAACUACUGCGAAAGCAUUUGCCAAGGAUGUUUUCAUUUAAUCAAGAACGAAAGUUAGGGAUCGAAGACGAUCAGAUACCGUCGUAGUCUUAACCAUAAACUAUGCCGACUAGGGAUCGGAUGAUGUUAAUUUUUAAUGUACUCAUUCGGCGUCCGUUAC